UGAGAACAGACCAAGGAACUCAGGGUAGAAAUACAAAAGUCCUUAGGGGGAAUGAUACCAAUUACAUAACAUAUUGAAAAGCUGAUGCCUGGCUCAGAGAGGAUGCCCUAUUAUUCCAUAUGAUUUCAUCUUCCCAAUCAAAGCAUGUACUCUAAGGAGAACAGGAAAUGGGAGAAUGCAGCAGAUUAUUCUUCAAAAUAGCCUCGUGACCCUGGGGCAGAUUGUUUGUUCUUUGGACCUCAGUUUCUUCACCUGGAAAAUGAGUGGUUAUCUCUUAGGUCCUUUCACACCUCCGAGUUUUUAAAGUCUGUAUUCUACAUGAUCUAGAACACCACUGGAGCAAAAAAAGCACUCCAUAAAUGCUUGUUGAUUGAAAUGGGGCCAAGGUGACAAGAUGCAUUUUGAAAAAGCUGUUCCAUGAGUGCCAGAACAACAUGUUCCCAUAAAGGAGCGGAAGAGCACAGGACUAAUAUAAAGCUUUUGGGAAACCUUAAAGCAACAGGGGAAAGUCCCCCAAAGCAGAAAUUGGCUAGAUAACCACAGGAGAAAUAUCAGGAAAUUGCACAACUUUGUAAGAACCAGAUUAAAAAUGCUAAGGGAAGGAGACAUUCUACUUUUAAGAGACAUGAAGCAAGAGGCAAGAGCCAGUUGUUGCUCAGAGUGAAAUAAUGUAGAAAGUCAACAGCCUCUAAAUAUCCUCUCCCCCACAAAAGUUCUGCUCUUGUUGGAGAUUUUUAAAAAUAGAACAAAAGGUUAUCACUCCCACCAGCAGACACAAUGUCCUAAUGUCUCCAACCAAAAGUUCUCUUCUUUGACCCUGCUUCCUCCUCUAAUUACCAUCAUAUGGCUAAUGGCAUUGCCCUUCACCCUAUCGUAUCUCCUCAUCCCUGAAGGGAGAAGGAGAGAGACUUUUUGGUAUAAUAAUGCAUCCAAGUCUUCUUUCAUUAUAAGAAUGCACCAUGCUCCUCCCAGGUUGCACUGAGUGGAACCAAUAAUCUGGAGGUGAAACAAAGUGGGACAAAAGGAAAGUGCACAGAGGCGAGAAAGAGCAAAAUUGAGAUGCUGACAUAUUACACCAGAAAAUAGAACAUUUCCGGCUGUAGCUGGUACUGCUGGUUAUUUCAUGAUAUGGUUUGGAUCUGUGUCCCCACCCAAAUCUCAUGUCAAAUUGUAAUCUCCAAUGUUGGAGGUGGGGGCCUGGUGGGAAGUGAUUGGAUUAUGGGCAAAUUUUCCCCUUUGGUGCUGUUCUUGUGAUCGAAUUUUCAUAAGAUCUGGUUGUUUGAAAGUGUAUAGCACCUCCUCCUCUCUUCCUCCUUCUCUGGCCAUGUGAGAUGUCUUGCUCCUCCUUCGCCUUCAGCCAUGAUUGAAAGUUUCCUGAGGCCUCCCCAGGAGCUGAGCAGAUGCCAGCAACAUGAUUCCUACACAACCUGCAGAACUGUGAGCCAAUUAAACCUCUUUUUUUGGUAAACUAGCCAGUCUCAGGAAUUUCUUUAUAGCUGUGUGAAAAUGGACUAAUAUAUCUCCUAACAUCUUUUCUCUCCUCUGUGAAAUGAGGAUAAAGUAUCUACCUUGUAGGGUUGUUAUGAGGAAUAAAUCGGUUAAUGUAUGUAAAGUGCUUAAAACAGUGCCUGGCAUAUAUUAAGCAUCAUGUGUUUCAUAUUCAUUACUUCCAUACCUGUUUAUACUUUCACUACAUAUGUGUGCAUCCAU
rnacentral:lncRNA from 10 species